rnacentral:rRNA from 1 species
AGACGUCUACAUUAGAUACCCGUGUAGUCCCAGCCGUAAACUAUGCGCGUUAGGUGUAUCGGUGACCACGAGUCACCGAGGUGCCGAAGGGAAACCGUGAAACGUGCCGCCUGGGAAGUAUGGUCGCAAGGCUGAAACUUAAAGGAAUUGGCGGGGAGCACCACAACGGGUGGAGCCUGCGGUUUAAUUGGACUCAACGCCGGGAAGCUCACCGGAUAAGACAGCGGAAUGAUUGCCGGGCUGAAGACUCUGCAUGACUAGCUG